rnacentral:rRNA from 1 species
UACGGGGGGGGCAAGCGUUGUUCGGAAUUACUGGGCGUAAAGGGCUCGUAGGCGGCCAACUAAGUCGGAUGUGGAAUCCCCAGGCUUAACCUGGGAAUUGCAUCCGAUACUGGAUGGCUUGAAUCCGGGAGAGGGAUGCGGAAUUCCAGGUGUAGCGGUGAAAUGCGUAGAUAUCUGGAGGAACACCGGUGGCGAAGGCGGCAUCCUGGACCGGCAUUGACGCUGAUGCGCGAAAGCCAGGGGAGCAAACGGG